GAUGAACGCUGGCGGCGUGCUUAACACAUGCAAGUCGAACGAUGAAGCUCAGCUUGCUGGGUGGAUUAGUGGCGAACGGGUGAGUAACACGUGAGUAACCUGCCCUUAACUCUGGGAUAAGCCUGGGAAACUAGGUCUAAUACCGGAUAGGAGCGCCUACCGCAUGGUGGGUGUUGGAAAGAUUUAUCGGUUUUGGAUGGACUCGCGGCCUAUCAGCUUGUUGGUGAGGUAAUGGCUCACCAAGGCGACGACGGGUAGCCGGCCUGAGAGGGUGACCGGCCACACGGGGACUGAGACACGGCCCAGACUCCUACGGGAGGCAGCAGUGGGGAAUAUUGCACAAUGGGCGAAAGCCUGAGGCAGCGACGCCGCGUGAGGGAUGACGGCCUUCGGGUUGUAAACCUCUUUCAGUAGGGAAGAAGCGAAAGUGACGGUACCUGCAGAAGAAGCACCGGCUAACUACGU
rnacentral:rRNA from 1 species